AGCAAGCAGCAUUCACCACGAGCAGCGAGGCGGACCGGCAAUAGCCGGAGCAGGACCCGCUAGCGCCCUCGAUACUGCUGCUGCGAGCGGCAGGCAACGCGGAGCCACCUGGGGCCUCCAUGCUUGGCCGGGGGUGGGGGUGGGGGGCGGAUCGCCCUCUCCCGGCCUGCGCUGCAGCGGCAACACCCAUCUUUACUGCCUCCUCUCCCUGCAAAUGAGGAGAGUCUAAAACAGGCAUUAACUAAAUGCUGCCGGUUGUGCUAGUUUUAACCUCAUUUCAAUCUGUGCCAUGUUUACGGACGUGAGACAAGUGCAGCCUCAAUAAUAAAUGUCCAUCUCUUCUUAGCCAAUGGAGACCUCAGGGCCACCUCAACAACUACACGUGUACUGGAGGAACAUGGGUCGUUCUCUGCAUAAAACUCUGGAGGUGAACAUCAGCAAUACAGAAAUCGAACAAGAGAGGCAUUUUCAUAGAAGAGUUACGCAGAAAAUGGGACGACCUCAGGGGAGGAAAGUGACAGCGUUUGGAGGUGAGAGUUCCAAAGUAGCCGAGGAUGCUCUGCUGGCGAGGGCACACCUUGUUGAAUUCGGCAAACCAGACACGUGUGCGCAACCCACCUGGCCGAACCUCUCCUUCACUGCCACCUCUCCUCCACUGAGUACAUGAAAGCCUGGACUCCCAAGGCUUUCAGUUUCGGAAUAAGCACCCAUGAUGAAGAGUCACAGAAAAUCUAAGAAAGUGGGAGCUUGGCAUCUCCUCACUUCAUCUCAGAUGUCGCAGAGCUUAAGCAAUGGUGAAUAUUGCCUUGUGCUGUUUGGUACCUCGUUCUUGUUCCUGAAACGUCUAGAAACACUUGCUGUCAAAGCCACGAGACAUAGAGAAACACCCCCUGUGGUAAUCUCCCCUUCUCCAAGGCUUCAAGUAGCUCGUUUGGAUGUGUCCUGCCCCAACAGCCUUCCCAGGAGUGGAUGCUGCAUCUGUUGGUCCUGAUCAUCUUCAAUCUGACUUGACCUUCGCCUGCAUCCCACACACAGAAGGAGCAGUGGGCACUAGCGCUCACAAGAACUGACUCCAAGGAGCUCAAAGGUCUUCACUGUCGAGUUUUCCUGUGAAGGCGACAAGGACAGGUGAAAGCUGCACAGGUGGUGGCUGAUGUAGGAACAGAAGCUGGGCUGCUCCACGAGUUGGCUCAGGACCCUGGGCUUCUCAUUUGAUUCCAGGACCCUCUGCAGCCACUCUGUGCUAAUGGGUGCUUCCCUUAAAGUGUAAAAGGGCACCUUUCCCAGCAUCGUGUCCACUGCCCACACUUCCUCGACUACCAACAGAGUGGGAGUGACAAGGUGGACCUCUUUCUGUGAAGGCACAGGGCUCCAGUGUGACCUGAUGCCAUGCGUUUUAUGACAAACAGUGCAGGGAGCUAAGUGAAUCAUCUCUGUUGCUGUCGCCUCUGUGGUUAAACAGACCUACUAACCAGCAGCUGCUACAUUCUUGCUCGCUUAUGCUUGAGGUUUUCUAUUUUAUUUUCACAUUUUGGAACCCUGUAUUUGACCAAAACUUCCAAGCAAGUGUAAACAGAUAUGCAGAUAAAAACAAAGGAGAACCUCAGGAUGGUCCAAGGGGUUACUGUUUGAAAACCACCAUUUUCAACUAAAUGGUGAGGAGGAUAAAUGUGCAGCAAAAAAGGGAAAAAAAGAGGGAUUCAGGCAUUGAGAAGAAAGGAGGUACCUGGGAAACACGUACAAGUGAAAGGUGUAGAAUGGAGCUACUCUGCCCGUUUCUGGGAGAUGUGGCAGGGAUGUCCCACUUUUCGGAAGGGUGGGGUGGUGCCCCACCCCCACGGGGACUGCGUCCACCCCAGGGACAUGUCCCUGCCUCCCUGACUAAGGUUCCCUUCCCCUGGACCAGGUGCUGUGACUCUGGCCAGCCCCAGGUGCUCGAGGUCCUAGGCUGACUCCAGACGAAGUGGAGUCAGGUGGGACCUCUUGCCAUCCGAGGUCCUGGGAACUGACAGAACUCCAAGCCAGGCUGGAGGCUCUUCCACACGAAAGCAGCUCAAAAGUUGGCCGCGUCUCCUUGAUGCUCCAGUGCCUCCAGGACCCCAGGCAGUCGAGUCUGUCCGACGUGACCCAGUUGCUGCUGAGAGGAACAGGCUUCUGGUGGAGACCAUCAUUCCUUUCUCUCUCUCUACUCGCCCUGAGAGGGUGGCCCAGACCAGGGAGCCGCUUCGAGAAGCCCGCAGUCAGGAGUCACUCCGGGCACUUGGACCACAUGUCUGCAGUGUGACCUCCUUUCCUUUCUGUCGGAAUCCACCCCAGACCGG